rnacentral:rRNA from 1 species
GGGAAUAUUGGACAAUGGGGGGAACCCUGAUCCAGCGACGCCGCGUGAGUGAAGAAGGUUUUCGGAUCGUAAAACUCUGUUGUUAGAGAAGAACAAGGACGUUAGUAACUGAACGUCCCCUGACGGUAUCUAACCAGAAAGCCACGGCUAACUACGUGCCAGCAGCCGCGGUAAUACGUAGGUGGCAAGCGUUGUCCGGAUUUAUUGGGCGUAAAGCGAGCGCAGGCGGUUUCUUAAGUCUGAUGUGAAAGCCCCUGGCUCAACCGGGGAGGGUCAUUGGAAACUGGGAGACUUGAGUGCAGAAGAGGAGAGUGGAAUUCCAUGUGUAGCGGUGAAAUGCGUAGAUAUAUGGAGGAACACCAGUGGCGAAGGCGGCUCUCUGGUCUGUAACUGACGCUGAGGCUCGAAAGCGUGGGGAGCA